rnacentral:rRNA from 1 species
ACCAGACUCCUACGGGAGGCAGCAGUGAGGAAUAUUGGUCAAUGGGCGGGAGCCUGAACCAGCCAAGCCGCGUGAGGGAAGAAGGUACAGCGUAUCGUAAACCUCUUUUGUCAGGGAACAAAGGCGGGGACUAGUCCCCGGAUGAGGGUACCUGAAGAAAAAGCAUCGGCUAACUCCGUGCCAGCAGCCGCGGUAAUACGGAGGAUGCGAGCGUUAUCCGGCUUUAUUGGGUUUAAGGGGUGCGCAGGCGCCCUGUUAAGUCAGCGAUAGAAGCCGGGGGCUAAACCCGGGCGGGCCGUUGAAACUGGCGGGCUGGAGUUGGAGAGAAGUACGCGGAAUGCGCGGUGUAGCGGUGAAAUGCUUAGAUAUCGCGCAGAACCCCGAUUGCGAAGGCAGCGUACCGGCUCCACACUGACGCUGAGGCACGAAAGCGUGGGGAUCGAACAGGAUUAGAUACCCGGGUAAA